UAUCUACUCCCUCCGUUCGGAAUUACUUGUCUCGGAAAUGGAUGUAUCUAGAACUAAAAUACGUCUAGAUACACCCAUUUCUGCGACAAGUAAUUCCGAACGGAGGGAGUACUCU
rnacentral:pre_miRNA from 1 species